ACUGCAAGUCGUUCUAUCGCAUCAUUCUUGAUGAGGAAAGUCCGGACAACGUAGAGCACCAUACCAUCUAACGGAUGGGAUUUUUUUGAAAUACAGAUAGUGCCACAGAAAUAUACCGCCUGACUUGUCGGGUAAGGGUGAAAACGUGCGGUAAGAGCGCACGCGGCCUGUCAGUAAUGGCAGGUUGGGGUAAACCUUAUGGGUUGAAAUGUCACGUAUAUCUUAGUAAUCCAUUGAGGAUUGUUGAGUUGCUCGCUCAACUAGUACGCUAGCUAAGAAGGGUAGGCAGAUAGAGUCUAAGGGUGACUUUAGACCUAGAUAAAUGAUAGAAACAUUGAGUCUUCAAUGUACAGAAUCCGGCUUAUAGGCUUGCAGUCUUU
rnacentral:RNase_P_RNA from 1 species